rnacentral:pre_miRNA from 1 species
GUGCUUUUGAGCCAAGGAUGACUUGCCGGCGUAUGUUUGAUCUCUUCUAGGACUGUUGCCGGCGAGACAUCUUGGCUCAUUGGUGCUCUCUUUCCACUCAUAUGAGACUCUAGAAAGAGCUUGAUUGAAAGGAUGAUGUCCAAUAAUUGUG